rnacentral:tRNA from 1 species
GCAGUGCUUGGCCGAAUGGUUACGCUGUGCGCUUUGUAAGCGGAUGAUUCUGGGUUCGAUUCCCAUCUGCUGCA